ACGGGAGGCAGCAGUAGGGAAUCUUGCGCAAUGGGCGAAAGCCUGACGCAGCGACGCCGCGUGCGGGACGAAGGCCCUCGGGUUGUAAACCGCUUUCAGCAGGGACGAAGCGAAAGUGACGGUACCUGCAGAAGAAGGUCCGGCCAACUACGUGCCAGCAGCCGCGGUAAUACGUAGGGACCGAGCGUUGUCCGGAUUCAUUGGGCGUAAAGAGCUCGUAGGCGGCUGCUCAAGUCGAAUGUGAAAACUCGAGGCUCAACCUCGAGCCUGCAUUCGAUACUGGGCGGCUAGAGUCUGGUAGGGGGAUCUGGAAUUCCUGGUGUAGCGGUGGAAUGCGCAGAUAUCAGGAGGAACACCGGUGGCGAAGGCGGGAUCCUGGGCCAGUACUGACGCUGAGGAGCGAAAGCGUGGGGAGCAAACAGGAUUAGAUACCCUGGUA
rnacentral:rRNA from 1 species